rnacentral:tRNA from 1 species
GUUAAGGUGGCAGAGCUGGUAAUUGCAAAAGACCUAAACUCUUUGAUCCAGAGGUUCAACUCCUCUCCUUAACC